rnacentral:tRNA from 1 species
AGGCAGCUAGUCUAAUUAAAACAUUUGAUUUCGGCUCAAAAACUUGUGGUUAAAAUCCACGGCCGCCUG